rnacentral:rRNA from 1 species
UACGUAGGGUGCGAGCGUUAAUCGGAAUUACUGGGCGUAAAGCGUGCGUAGGCGGUUCGCUGUGUCCGAUGUGAAAGCCCCGGGCUUAACCUGGGAAUGGCAUUGGAAACUGGCGGGCUUGAGUGCGGCAGAGGGGGGUGGAAUUCCGCGUGUAGCAGUGAAAUGCGUAGAGAUGCGGAGGAACACCGAUGGCGAGGGCAGCCCCCUGGGUCGACACUGACGCUCAGGCACGAAAGCGUGGGGAGCAAACAGG